AGGAGGCUUACUAAGCACCAGCAAUCUUUGAAGACGGAACGUGAGAAGAAGAGAGAAAUGUACUUCCCCAUGAGAAAGUAUGCUAUUAAGGUGUAGGGUGGUAUCUUCAGGAUAGGCUGCAUUUAUAUUUUGCAAUCAUAAACCAAUUUUGUUGACAAGUUUUGAUUUGGAUUAUCUUUUUGUUAAGAGUAAGAUGGCACCCUUCCAAGUCGCGAACAUAAUCAUAAUCAUAACAAAA
rnacentral:misc_RNA from 1 species